UUUAGACAUCUUUAACUAAAGUUCCGGCGCCUCGGGAGGGGCCUGCGGGCUAUCAGCUUGUUGGUGGGGUAACGGCCUACCAAUGCUAAGACGGCUAGGGGGCGUGAGAGCGCGAGCCCCCACAAGUGGAACUGAGAAACGGUCCAUACUCCUACGGGAGGCAGCAGUGAGGAAUAUUGCACAAUGGGGGAAACCCUGAUGCAGCAACGCCGCGUGAACGAUGAAUGCCUUCGGGUUGUAAAGUUCUUUUCUGGGGGACGAUAGUGACGGUACCUCAGGAAUAAGUCCCGGCUAACUACGUGCCAGCAGGCGCGGUAGAACGUACGGGGCGAGCGUUAUCCGGAUUUAUUGGGCGUAAAGCGCAAGUAGGCAGCGUUGUAAGUUGGACGUGAAAGCUCCCGGCUCAACUGGGAGAGGUCGUUCAAAACUACAGUGCUCGAGGUUGGAAGAGGAGAGUAGAAUUCCCGGUGUAGUGGUGGAAUGCGUAGAUGUCGGGAGGAAUAUCAGUGGCGAAAGCGACUCUCUGGUCCACACCUGACGCUGAGGUGCGAAAGCGUGGGUAGCGAACGGGAUUAGAUACCCCGGUAGUCCACGCCGUAGACGAUGGAUACUAGGUGUAGGGGGUCACUGAAUCCCUCUGUGCCGUACCAAACGCGUUAAGUAUUCCGACUGGUGACUACGGCUCGCAAGGCUUUAAACUCAAAGGAAUUGACGGGGGCCCGCACAAGCAUCGGAGCGUGUGGUUUAAUUCGAUGAUACGCGAAGAACCUUACCUGGGCUGAACUACGUGGUAGUAGACAAGCGAAAGCGGAUCGACCCUUCGGGGAGCCUCGAUAGGUGCUGCAUGGCUGUCGUCAGCUCGUGUCGUGAGAUGUUGGGUUAAGUCCCGCAACGAGCGCAACCCUUGUCGUUAGUUAUA
rnacentral:rRNA from 1 species